rfam:Schistosoma curassoni strain Dakar, Senegal genome assembly, scaffold: SCTD_scaffold0001789
AUCUAACUGACGAGUCCUAAUUAGGAUGAAACACGUAUCCUGGAU